GACGAACGCUGGCGGCGUGCUUAACACAUGCAAGUCGAACGGAAAGGCCCUUCGGGGUACUCGAGUGGCGAACGGGUGAGUAACACGUGGGUGAUCUGCCCUGCACUUUGGGAUAAGCCUGGGAAACUGGGUCUAAUACCGAAUAGGACCACGGCCUUCAUGGGUUGUGGGGGAAAGCUUUUGCGGUGUGGGAUGGGCCCGCGGCCUAUCAGCUUGUUGGUGGGGUAAUGGCCUACCAAGGCGACGACGGGUAGCCGGCCUGAGAGGGGGACCGGCCACACUGGGACUGAGAUACGGCCCAGACGCCUACGGGAGGCAGCAGUGGGGAAUAUUGCACAAUGGGCGCAAGCCUGAUGCAGCGACGCCGCGUGAGGGAUGACGGCCUUCGGGUUGUAAACCUCUUUCAGCAGGGACGAAGCGCAAGUGACGGUACCUGUAGAAGAAGGACCGGCCAACUACGUGCCAGCCGCCGCGGUAA
rnacentral:rRNA from 1 species